GGGGAACCAGGACUUUUACUUUGAACAAAUUAGAUCGCUUAAAGAAGGCCUAUGCUCGAAUACAUUAGCAUGGAAUAAUAGAAUAGGACGUGUGGUUCUAUUYUGUUGGUUUCUAGGACCGCCGUAAUGAUUAAUAGGGACAGUCGGGGGCAUCAGUAUUCAAUUGUCAGAGGUGAAAUUCUUGGAUUUAUUGAAGACUAACUACUGCGAAAGCAUUUGCCAAGGAUGUUUUCAUUAAUCAGGAACGAAAGUUAGGGGAUCGAAGACGAUCAGAUACCGUCGUAGUCUUAACCAUAAACUAUGCCGACUAGGGAUCGGACGAUGUUAUAUUUUGACUCGUUCGGCACCUUACACGAAAGUAAAGUUUCUGGGUUCUGGGGGGAGUAUGGUCGCAAGGCUGAAACUUAAAGAAAUUGACGGAAGGGCACCACCAGGGGUGGAGCCUGCGGCUUAAUUUGACCCAACACGGGGAAACUCACCAGGUCCAGACACAAGUAGGAUUGACAGAUUGAGAGCUCUUUCUUGAUUUUGUGGGUGGUGGUGCAUGGCCGUUCUUAGUUGGUGGAGUGAUUUGUCUGCUCAAUUGCGAUAACGAACGAGACCU
rnacentral:rRNA from 1 species